rnacentral:rRNA from 1 species
GACCUGGCUGGGCGGUCCGCUUAACGGCGUGUACUGUUCGGCUGGGCCUUACCUCUUGGUGAGCCAGCGUGCCCUUUAUUGGUGUGCGUUGGGGAACCAGGACUUUUACCUUGAGAAAAUUAGAGUGUUCAAAGCAGGCCUAUGCCUGAAUACAUUAGCAUGGAAUAAUAAAAUAGGACU